CUGCCACUUCCUGUCACUUAACCUAAGUACCUAAAGAACACACAGCCAAACUUCAAUAAGCUUGAAAGCAUGAUAUAUUUGCAGCAAAAUACAUUCCACUACCGGUGGGACAGAUGUGUCACCUAACUGCAAUAGUCCUGCAUGUGUAAAACUGGGUGUCAGCAAUGUUCGUCUCAAGGCACAGCUUCUGUUGUCUCAAACUGAAAAUAGCUUUGUACUUGUUGCCUUGGAGCCACACGCUUAACCACGGCUUUGAAUGUUGCUGUUUGAGCUGCUGAGUCAUGUGUAGUAGGACGCUGCUCUUAUCUCCAGUCAGCCAGGAGGACUUUCACAGGCAGUUGGUUUGUGUGAGUGAGGAAACAUGGAUGAUAUUGCUGCAGGAUUACCUGCUCUGGUGUACUGGUAUGGAGGUGUGGAGUCGGUCCACUCCAUAGGCCAGAGGCCAGGCAGAGGGAAUUCAAAUGAGGGCAUGAUUCAGCAGACUGUACUCCGGCUCCAAUCAACCCUACCAGAGCUGAUCAGCGGCUUCCAAAACAGAGAGAUACCAACAAAUCCCACUGACUCAGCAUAAAUGCUUGUGUCUGAGAGAAAAAAAAUGUCAUUGCAUCCAGCAUACUUAAGCACAGAUUUAAGAAAGGACAAAGCAUGAAUGAAGAAUAAAUUAAUACAUUACGGAACACUGAACAUAGGUACUGAAAUUUGGUAUUUCACAGGUAAGUGAAUAUGAUGUUUUUUGUUCUGACUAGCAUGUCACUGGCUAGCUGUCUAAUCAGACAUCGAUCAGCAACAGACAUUUAAUUUUAAUGCCAUCAAAUAUCCAUGUCAGAAACACUACUAAUGUUUAGAAAUGUAUUUUUCAUUUUAUAGAUAACAGUAUAUGAAUAAGUGUGGAAGUCAUAAACUAAAAAGGGGAAACACAUGAAUGUCAAAGAUGGCUAUAGUUUUGUUUUUUUGUUUUUUAAAUGCUUUUAUUUAAUGAGUAAGUGAUUUUUGUGUUUGUUUACACUGUAAGAUUUUGCAGCCCAGGGAAUUAACCAAUACUGUACAGCUUUCCAACCCUGAAAUACCCCCUGUCCCACACAUUUUAGUGUUCUCCUGUUCUAACACCCCUUUCAACUCAGGAAGAGCUGUUAAUUACCUGAGUAAUUCAAUCAGGUGUAUUUGGAAAACAAUAAAAAUGUGUAGGAUGCGGGUAUUCCAGGGUUGGAAACCUGUGCAGUACAUGUUUAUUUUACUUUUACAUUUAAUUUGAGUGGUUGUAAUUUUUUUAAAGGGGCUCUCUUCGGAUCACUCUCUGAUUAAGAAAAUCUACCAGAGGGAGAAACUGGAACAGGAGAACUUAUAGGUUAUAUUAUUACCAGUGUAUAUGCUGUUCUGUUGAACAGUGCUGUGUAAAUCCCCAUCCCUGAUUCCUGUUAUUUAACUUAAACAAGUAACCAUGCAUUCAUUAUUGUAGAAAACACAAACCCUUUACAUUCCGAAUAAUUUACAUGAACUCUACAGUAAAAGAGGCGCCUAUAUAUCUUAAUAUAUAUAUUUAUAUACAGAAUAAACAGUAUUAGUUUAUUAAGAACAUUGUACUCUAUUUGUAGAGGUAGCAAUUUGUAUUUUUUACAGACCUACAUAUUGUAGCAGUAUAUUACUCAAAAAAAAACAAAACACACAGCUUCAUUUCUACAUUUAUAAGAGCUAUAGGAUGUCUUUUUUGGAUGUAUUUCACUCCAGACCAGCUGCAGUAUCGUACUUUUAACACAUUUAAUACCGGACAACAGCACUGUGAUUCUCGAUUGUGAUCAGAAAGAGUAGAGAAUAGUACAAUGUUCAGGACAUGCUGUUUUUGGAACUUUCACACAUUACACUGUCGUUGAUUAGUUUCCUAUAACAUCACACUCCAUUGUGUAUUAUUCUUUACAUAUUGUUUUGAACAUUGUACUUUUCACUGGUAAAAUAUCAUCAAUAUAAUAGUAUAAUGUAUCGUUGUAGAUGAGCUACAUUUCUGAUAAAAAGGUCUAAAAUCUUCCUUAUAAAAUAACUCCAGAAAGCAUCAUAAAUCAAGAAAAGUGGAUUAGUAUAAAAUAAAAUGAACUAAAAUAAACAGUGAGACCAAGCCUUGCAAUUAUAAUGUCUUAUUUUAUUUUUUAACUUCCCUUUAUUGUAAACCUGUCUGAUGUCAAUUAAUAAACAAACCAUCCAGACAACUAGAAUAUAUGUUACUGCAGUGGUAUGGGUUUUGACAUGUAGUGACUGUUGUUUCGAAACUGUUGUUUUGCCUCCAAACCAUACCCAGGCCAGUAAAACGUCCAUGGCCCCUGUGUGGACGUUAGUUAUCUUCUAACCACAUCUCCAUCUCUGGAAAUGGUGUGGACAGGGCUGUUCUAUCCACGGCUCUGCUCUCUAACUAACAGACAGAAACAGCAAGCUAAGCAUGCUACUGGAGUGUGCUGACGUCGAUAAUACACACACUAAAAUUAGUAAAGGGGCCUCUUUUUAACACAUCAUUCCUACACAUGCUUUAGUAGCUUUAGUAUACAGAUGAAGAAUGAUUGAACAAAUUAAUUUACUACUGAAUAAAACUUUUAUUGUGCUCUGUUCUGCUAUGAAGUGUAAGUUUAGAUAUAAACUCCAUAUCAGUUUGAAAUGAUUCCAUUUACUACCGCCCAUUUUAUCUUUGAAAAGCUAAAACUUUGGUGGAGGGAACUCAUCCUUUAGAUUAAAGAUAUGUUUGGGUGCAAGAAAUGAGUGAAAUCCUGAGGGGUUUGUAGAACAGAAAUGAAGGUUACAGGGGGGAAACAGGAAACCAGCACGUUCCUAUUUCCUGUCAACAGGUGAAGCUACAUUGCCUUUUCUCGUUUAUUCUCCAACCACAGUUCUUGGGGUGUAGACUAUUUCAGAAAGUCUUUUUAAGAAACAGCAGAUAUUUCUUCAUAGUUUACCUUCUGCUGUAUAAAUACCUGAGAGAGAAUAAAACAGCAGCAAAGUUUAGCUGCAUUGUUGCAACAUUUUGUUAUUGCAAAUGAUUGAGUAAAUUCAUUGAGGAAGUCAUAAUAUGUAAAGAAGCACUUGAGAGAACAAUGUGCAGGCAUUAUACUUUGAUGCACACACACACGCCGCAUACAUACGAAAGCAUACAACUAUGAAAUAUUCUUCCAGAUUCACAAAAUGUCUCAUCUGAAUCAAAGGAAAUUAUGCUAAUAAAGCAUCUCAUUAUUCUGAACUAACAGAGAACCAGUCUGCGCAAUCACAUCAUUACUGAUCUAUUCAUAAAUACAGACUAGAUUUCUUGAAAAGCAACAUUUUUUACUCCUCCACUUUGUGGCUAUUGUACUUUUGUGCAAUGAGACUAUGAAUAAAUGGGAGGUGUAGGAGUUUUAGGUUGAAGGAAAGGAUUGCUCGGUGGGACAGUGAUGAUCAUUCUGGACAGAGGGGCCUGCCGACCAUGGGAUGAUGGCGUUGAAGUGCUCCUACAAAUUACACAGAACACCCACAUUUAGUUGAGGUCAAAACAGCAGGAUAACAAGUCUGAAUGAUAAACACAUUACCUCUCAAUCUUUUAACCAUUAAUUACAAUUAAUGAAUCAGCUGCAUGGCUAGUGAGAGGAAGACAUUUACCUACUCCAAAUAUUAAACUGUAUUAAGAGUUAAAAGAGAACAAUAGUUCAUUUUAACAAGUCACUUGCAAAGCCUAGAGGAACCAAAACAAGAAUUCUUGUUAUAAGCGGAGUUAAGAGGAAGCUCUUAAAGGUGCUAACUGGUCCUCUUUUUCUGCUAUAAGGGAAAGCUGGGAGGGUUGCUUUAUCAGCAGAGGAAACAGAUUUCAGAGGGCGAGUCUCUCCAGGAAAAUGGAUCUGGGUCAAGCGAAAACCACGAUUACCACCAGCAGCUAGAACAGCUCAGCUCUGGAAGUGGCCAUCUGUGGAAGGCUUCUCCAAAAGCCGGUAAACCAGGUCUUCCGAGACCCAGUUAGGAAACACGUUUUCAAAAAAAAAAAACAACAACAAAAAAAACAGUCCCUGGGUGAGGAGUUUGGUUUUCCUCUAGUGCCUCUCUUACACAUUGCCUCCUCCUUCUUCCUUUCUACUCAAGCUGCACAUGGCUCAAUCCUACUCAUUCUGAAAGCUGAGGACGUUUUACCGUUGAUGCUGACACUGAAAGGGAGGGAGGCUGUUGACCUGACCUACACCAAGUUGGUGCCACACUUUAACAUUAAUGCUCAUAGUGGUACUUUUUGCAGUUCCUCAUUUUAAUGAUUUACAAGUUGAAAAGCAGUUAUCUUCAUCUCCUUAUUCCACACAUUUAAGCAUGCUUUGUGGAGAAAUCACCUUGUCAACGCUUGCGCUUAAAUCAUCUCUUGGUUCCUUAAAUUUACUCUUUGACAUCUCAGACCUCUCAGAUAAAGAAGCUAGACCAAACGUUGAAAGGUUGUAAAUUUAAGCCACAGUAUUAUGUUUUAUACCAUAAGGAACAUGAGGGAGUGUUAUACAAAAACCAAGAGCUGCAGAAUUCACAGUGGGGGGGUAGUGAAACUGACUACCCCGGGCCUCUAGGUCAGAGGUUUCAAACUGUUUUCAGUAGAUCCCAGUACCAAUUUAUUUCUAAACAUAAUCUAACUAUUCUAUUCUAUUCUAUUCUAUUCUAUUCUAUUCUAUUCUAUUCUAUUCUAUUCUAUUCUAUUAUUCUAUUUUAGGCUCAUUAUUAAAAUGUGCACAGUAGUAUUUUGCUAAUAUUAAGGUUUGGAUUAAACCCUUUCAGAUCAUGUGAUCAGUUAAACAGGAUAAUAAGUAUAUUGUGGGUUGCCAUUUCUAAGUCUGCAAGAAAGUUAAAGAACAAAUGAUGGACCCCCACAGACCCCACUGUGAGAAAAACAGACCUAGAUAAAAAAAAUAAAUAAAAAAAAGACCCAGAAGGGAACAGGACUAAACUGUUUGCAAACAGAAAUGGCCCAGCAGAGCCCUAUAUAUGCAGAGAAAUUCCUAAAGAACCCAAGCAGGGCACUAUUCUGACAAAGGCAAAGAGACAGUCCUAAAUAAGAGAAAGGAAAUAGAGAAAAAGAAAGAGGUAGAGAGGAAAUGGCCGAUGAUGGCUCAAAUCAUCCACUAUUCAUUAUUUACUGUGUGUGAUUAUUAUGAUCAAAUAUGAUAAUAAUAUAGUGUGCUUAUAAUAUCAAAUGAUGAUGAAUUUUAAAAUAGUAAUAACUGUGUGUCUCAUCAGGAAAAGGUGUAACAACUCCAAAAGCACUUAUUGUGUCAGCCCUCUAAAAGAAAAGCUGUAUGAAUGUGCUGCUUUGCUGCCACCUGCUGAGCUGACACAGUGUACACAAAUAAAAUGAAAAUGAACUAACUUUGGUAAUCUGUUUGAUAAUUCAUAUAAAAUAGCACAAUGACAAGCUAAAAGGAUUAAUUCAUGUUCAAUUAAAGAUGCUAUAUCCUGUAAAGCUUUGAAAACAUAGUAUCAGGUACAUAGUAUCUUUAUCUAAGAAUAUAUAUGAAUGUUCUUAUAAAAAAUGCUGUCAUGUUUGAAACAGGUAAUGAAUAAAUAUAUAUGCAAGAUAUAAAGCAAAUAAAAUAACUGAAAACACUGUAUACUGUUUAGCACUUUUAACAAUGGACAUUAUAGAAAUAUAUAAAUUCAGAAUAAACGUUUUACAUUUAUGAAUUUAAAAAUAUAUCCCAAAUGAGCAAGCCAGAGAGGAAAAACAAUUUUGGGAAGAAAAAACUCCCUGAGAUGAUAUUACACCUUGAGAGGAACUGGAAUCUAAAGGAAACACAUCCUAAUCUGUGUCACUGGGUAGUGUGAAUUGCCUUAUAAACUGUGUACUAUACUAUACAAUUAAAAAAAAUGUUAUGAUGAGUUAUGGAGUUAAGGAGGUUUAUGUAAUUACUUGUUUGUGACUGCACCCCACUGUAGAUCUGACCAUACAUACAUACACACGUUUUAAAAGCCAUAGUAAUCAUACUUCUUCCAACAAUACAUAAUAUUAGAACUUUUACUUGUUUUAAAUAUCUGUAAUGUCCUAUUGGUCAUAUUGAAAAUAUAUAUAGAUUAGACCUGAUAUUCUGGUAUCACAUUGAAAUCAUGUGUCGAUUGACAAUUUUUUAUCCUAAAAGAAUGUGUUACAAUAUGUAUGUGCCUUACCUUGUAGCCUGAUGAGUGAGUAUAGAAGAAGGCUGGCUGGUGGCUGCGGUGU